UACGUAGGGGGCUAGCGUUGUCCGGAUUUAUUGGGCGUAAAGAGCGUGUAGGCGGCCAGGUAGGUCUGCUGUGAAAACUCGAGGCUCAACCUCGAGACGUCGGCGGAAACCAUCUGGCUAGAGUCCGGAAGAGGAGAGUGGAAUUCCUGGUGUAGCGGUGAAGUGCGCAGAUAUCAGGAAGAACACCCGUGGCGAAGGCGGCUCUCUGGGACGGUACUGACGCUGAGACGCGAAAGCGUGGGGAGCGAACAGG
rnacentral:rRNA from 1 species